rnacentral:sRNA from 1 species
UUCUGGCAUCCUCUACUGCCCAGUAUUAUAAUAAUAAACUUAGGCCACUAUGAUUAUGAUUUUUCAUUACAAUAUACUGUAUUUGAAGAGAACCUUUUCAAGCUUUUGAGCUGGAUGGAUUUAGUACUGUCAGUGAAUGAAAUUGUAUUUCUCAAUGAUUUAAUUUUUUCCUACCAGAAGUUAAAUUGCAAUGGGAUUAAAGCUGAAACUUAUCACUUAUACUUCUACUGUAUAAGCUAGUUGAAAGAUAUGAGCUGAGGCUAAUGUAGUUUAAGAUUUGCUUUAUUUUGCAAAGAUUAUUGCUAUUCUACUUUGACUUGUGAAUGGAUGUUGAUUUUGACAAAUUUUUACCACAUUACAUUUAGGAGUAUAUGUGUGAAUUGUUGCCAUUUGUAUGUAAGACUGUGUAGUGUCAACUGUCAAUAAUAUCAUUUGUUGUUGAAUAAAAGUCAUCAUUUCCCCUGU